UAUUAAAAAAAGAAAAAAAAAGAAAAAAAAAAGAAAUAUUACAGAGAGGAUCAGCAUGGCCCCUGCCCAAGGGUGACACUCAAACUCGUGUAGCAUUCCGUAUUUAC